rnacentral:rRNA from 1 species
GACGAACGCUGGCGGCGUGCUUAACACAUGCAAGUCGAGCGAUGAAACACCUUCGGGUGCGGAUUAGCGGCGAACGGGUGAGGAACACGUGAGGAAUCUGCCUUCCACUCUGGGAUAACUCCGGGAAACCGGGGCUAAUACCGGAUACUUUCAACUGGCGGCAUCGCCGGUUGAAGAAAGUUUUUCGGUGGAAGAUGACCUCGCGGCCUAUCAGCUUGUUGGUGAGGUAAAGGCUCACCAAGGCGACGACGGGUAGCCGGCCUGAGAGGGCGACCGGCCACACUGGGACUGAGACACGGCCCAGACUCCUACGGGAGGCAGCAGUGGGGAAUAUUGGGCAAUGGAGGAAACUCUGACCCAGCGACGCCGCGUAAGGGAUGAAGGCCUUCGGGUUGUAAACCUCUUUCAGCAGGGAAUAAGCGAAAGUGAAGGUACCUGCAGAAGAAGCACCGGCUAACUAUGUGCCAGCCGCCGCGGUAA